ACCAGUAUACAAAAGAAAAAAUUCCAGGUUUUUGAAGGCGAGACACUCCAUUGUGAAUAAAGAGCUCAUACCAGCUCCUAAGCCCUAUUAAGAAGAGGC